AUUUGCACAUUUCUCAAUUUUGUGGGUCAGAAACUGGCAGCACUCAGCUGAGUGACUCUUCUGUUUUAUGGGAAUUCACGGCGUUCACUCAGAGACAGAUAGCUGGUGGGUAGUCCAGUGCCAAGGACCAAGGAUGGCGUCACUUAUGUGUCUGGCCCUUGACAGGGAUGCUGGAAGUCUGGGCUCACCUGGGAGUGGAGAUGGCAACACCUACAUAUGACCUCUCCAGCACGGCAGUCGCAGAGUGGAUAUGGCAACAACUACACAUGACCUCCCCAGCAUGGCAGUCUCAGAGUGGAUAUGGCAACAGCUACACAUGACCUCUCCAGCAUGGCAGUCUCAGAGUGGAUAUGGCAACAGCUACACAUGACCUCUCCAGCAUGGCAGUCUCGGAGUGGAUAUGGCAACAGCUACACAUGACCUCUCCAGCAUGGCAGUCUCGGAGUGGAUUUGGCAACAGCUACACAUGACCUCUCCAGCAUGGCAGUCUCGGAGUGGAUAUGGCAACAGCUACACAUGACCUCUCCAGCAUGGCAGUCUCGGAGUAGAUAUGGCAACAGCUACACAUGACCUCUCCAGCAUGGCAGUCUCAGAGUGGAUAUGGCAACAGCUACACAUGACCUCUCCAGCGUGGCAGUCUCAGGUUACUGGCACUUCUUAGGUCUCAGCUGAGGACUCCAGUGCAGGUGUUGCAAGACAGCAGAUGCAGCACUGCUUAAGGGUAUCCUGAAGUCCCAGAAAGUUUCUUCAGGUACAUUCCAGUGGAGAAGGGAGUCACCAAGGCUGGACAGAGUCGUUUAUCCUUGGCAGGACUAGCAAAAAAUCUUCAGCAUCUCUCAUCGCACACACGUGGUUUUUCCAGGUGGUGAAGAUGUGGAAGAGGAGAAACCACAUAAAAAUGCAAUCACAUGAAUAAAUGUUGCCUACAAUGGCUGAAUUCGACUGAAGAACUUACACACUAAAUCAGGAUGCACAGGCUCAUGUUUAUGCCUUUGUCCCAGGCACCAACUUCUGUUGAACUUCUUUGCUGACCCUGCCUGAAGGUGGAGUUAACUAAAUGUUGUGUAGAUCUGUCUCAUAUCACUAUUUAGCCCAUUUGCAGAACUGCUGUAUUUAACUGUUCAGUGACAUUACAUUCACGAAGCUGACAAUUAUUCAGAAGCACAGUCAACAGCAGUGGAAAAGAUGGCUCAUGUGUGGCUCAGGCUGACUCCACAAUCAGAGUAAUUAUGUGGAAAUCAAUCAGAAUUUUCUUCUUAGAAGACAUUUGUUCUGACAUAAUGACUGACAUUCCAGCUAAUUUUUAUUCAUAGGCUUCUCCUUUCACAAUGAUCUCUAUUUCUCUAAAUGUUAUUCUGUGUCUUUCUUGCUUGCCUGCACAUUCUGAAAAAAAAGGAAAAUAAUUCCAUACAUUUUAUUUUGAUACUUAAUGUUGUUUGCUAACAUAUUCAGAACACAAUGAAACUUUAUUUAUUAGAGCACUUAUGAUAUAUAUUAGGAAAAUAUCAGUUAGGUACCACCAGUUAUUUUAGACAGGUAUCUCUUGGGGAAAAUGUGGUGAAAAUAGAGAGGUAAUGAUUGAAUUAAUAUGUGAAAGAGUCAGUCGGCCAUCAUUAUGCUAAAAUUAUUUUGCAGUUCAGGGGACAUUUUAAACUUUAUUUUUUAAGAAUUCAACUUUAAUUUAAUUUCUUGUAGUUGAAAGAAUUCUAAGAUGCCACCAAUGUCCCAGGCCUUGUCAAAAACAUCCUCUCGAGUGUGUGUGAGUGAGACCCGAAAAUUGCCCCUUGCUGCCAGAACACGGCAAAGGUGAUGGGAUCUUUUAUGUUUUGUGGCAAAAGUUAACCAUAUUUACAGGAGUGAUUAUUCUUCCUAAUCAGCUGACUUUAAGUUGAACAAAAGGGAGAUUUUCCUGGGUGAGUCCUGAUUUAAGCAAGAAAGGCUUUAAAAGAGGUCAGAGAAUGUAAAUGUGUGAGAAAUUAGAAGCAGCGGAGCCUCUGUUCUGGUGAUCUUCAGUAGCAGGUCACUGUGAAUUCUACAGCUCGACCAUCUUAUCACUGGACUGUUGGCCCUUUCUACAGCUCGGUCACCUUGAUCACUGGAAUAUGGGCCAUUGGAGCCACCGGCCAUCAUAUUAGCAAUCUGACUAUGUUGAGGCCACUGUGUUGUGAGGAAGCCCAAACUAGUCCAGAGACCCUGACACUAGUUUAAAGGAUAGAGAUGCCCCAUUAACCCUCCCCAGCUCUACUAUCACCCUCUGCUCCUCUCCCUACUCAGUCUUAGUCACCACUUAAAUGCAAUCACAAGGAAAGACUCUGAACUGGAAACACCAAGCCAAGCUCUUUCCUAGUUCUGGUGCCCUAUAAACUCUGAAAGUUAAUGCAAUUAUUAUUAUUUUUAAACCACCGAGUUUUCAGGGUGAUCAGUCAUGCAAGCCUGAAAAGGACUAUUCUUUCUGGCACUGAAAAUUACGAAGAGUGAUUAACAAGAUAAGAAUGUAGUUUGUGCUGUCUGCCAUGGAUUUGUGUUGUAGCUUUAGUGAUUGCUUGAAGCACCCUUACUAAUUGCCAGCCUAUUGCUGAUACCUAGCUAAAUUAGCAUAUGUUAGCUUUGAUACCACUAUAGGCAUUUAGAGGAUAGCUGAUAAGUUCUAUAUAAAAUAUAAUUACUUUCCUAUCUUUAGCUUAUCCUAAAGUAGCAGCUAUUAUAUUCUCUUCUUGAUUAGCUUUAUACAUAACCAGAGAAAGUAAAAUAUCACAGAGUAUAUUUGAAGACAUAAAAAUCUUUGAACAAAGUUCAAGUAAUGAAUCAGGAUGCUCUUACAUCCUCCACCUGACAGUAAAUAUAUUUUAUAUUCCUAAAUUUUAAUCUUUUAACAAAAGUAAACUAUAUACUGGAGCAUUUCAAUUUCUAGGGAAAUGAAAUUAUUAUUUACUGCCUUUGAGGCUAUAAUCUAUUUAGCUAUUAUUUUUAUAUUGAUCGAUUUAUAAUAAAGGUCAGAGAAAAUACAACCACAUAUAUGUUGUUUAUAUAAUUUUAACUUUUGUAAUUAAAAUACUGGGUAUACUGCAAGAUGUCAAUAUUUAUAAAACCCUAUAUUUGAAAAAAUGUAUUUUAUAUACUCCUAA